rnacentral:lncRNA from 1 species
GCCCACUAGAUAGGUACACCUUACAAUCAUUCCAUACAACAAAUAUAGUAGACCUAUUGCAUAUAGUAUGAGAAAAACAGACCAAAACACAAAAAUUUAACUAUAACCACUGAACCAUGAAAAUGAGGUCAAGGUCAGAUGACACCUGCCAGAUGGACAUGUACACCUUACAGUCCUUCCAUACACCGAAUAUACUAGCCCUAUUGCUUGUAGUAUCUGAG